GGAGGGAUCAUUACCGAGUUUACAACUCCCAAACCCCUGUGAACAUACCAAUUGUUGCCUCGGCGGAUCAGCCCGCUCCCGGUAAAACGGGACGGCCCGCCAGAGGACCCCUAAACUCUGUUUCUAUAUGUAACUUCUGAGUAAAACCAUAAAUAAAUCAAAACUUUCAACAACGGAUCUCUUGGUUCUGGCAUCGAUGAAGAACGCAGCAAAAUGCGAUAAGUAAUGUGAAUUGCAGAAUUCAGUGAAUCAUCGAAUCUUUGAACGCACAUUGCGCCCGCCAGUAUUCUGGCGGGCAUGCCUGUUCGAGCGUCAUUUCAACCCUCAAGCCCAGCUUGGUGUUGGGACUCGCGAGUCAAAUCGCGUUCCCCAAAUUGAUUGGCGGUCACGUCGAGCUUCCAUAGCGUAGUAGUAAAACCCUCGUUACUGGUAAUCGUCGCGGCCACGCCGUUAAACCCCAACUUCUGAAUGUGACCUCGGAUCAGGUAGGAAUACCCGCUGAACUUAAGCAUA
rnacentral:rRNA from 1 species